rnacentral:rRNA from 1 species
UACGAAGGGGGCUAGCGUUGUUCGGAAUUACUGGGCGUAAAGCGCGCGCAGGCGGUUCUUCAAGUCAGAGGUGAAAGCCCAGAGCUCAACUCUGGAAUGGCCUUUGAGACUAGAGAACUUGGGUACGGGAGAGGUGAGUGGAAUUCCGAGUGUAGAGGUGAAAUUCGUAGAUAUUCGCAAGAACACCAGUGGCGAAGGCGGCUCACUGGCCCGAUACUGACGCUGAGGCACGAAAGCGUGGGGAGCAAACAGG